AAGGGGGAACCCUAACACAUCUACAGCUUUCCUAUUGAGGGGGGAAGUCUACUUCUACUGAGGGGGGUCAUUUUAAGGGGUAACCUCUAUUCAACAAUGAGGGAAACUUGUAAGGGGGGAACCCUACCUCUAAUUGGGAGGGAGGGUAGCUUCUGGGAAGGUGCAGCGGCAGUAACACAUGUGUCUCAUGUGGUGCCAGCAUCCAAUCGGAUAGCUUCCCCAGUGACCCAGGAAACCAUAGACUUCCUCUCCCUCUGCAAUGCCGCUGUGGUUGAGUGCCACCUGCAGUACAGAAAGUAGACUGCAUCUUUUAAAGGGUGAACUCUAUUCUACUAUAGGAGGAAUUUCUAAGAGGGGAUUUCUACUUCUACUGAGGUGGGAACUUCUAAGGUGAGAAAUCUGUUUCUGUUGAGGUGGGAACUUCUAAGGUGAGAGCUCUACUUUUAUGCAGGAGUGAACUUCUAAGAGGUGAACCCUAUUCUACUGUUGGGGGUACUUCUAAGAGUGUAUCCCUAUUUCUACUGAGGUGGGACCGUCUAAGGGGAUAACUUUACUUUUUUGGAGAAGGAACUUCUAAGAUGGGAACUCUACUUCUACUGAGGUGGGAACUUCUAAGAGGAGAUCUCUGCUUCUACUGAGGUGGAAACAUCUAAAGGGAGAACUCUACUUCUACUAAGGUGGGAACUUCUAAGGUGAGAACUCUACUACUGAGGAGGGAAUUUCUAAGAAGAGAUUUUUACUUCUGCUGAGGGAACUUCUAAGGUGAGAACUUUACUUCUUUGGAGGUGGAAUUUCUAAGAGGUGAACUUUAUUAUAUUGUGGGGGGUAAUUCUAAGAGGAGAUCUCUACUUCUACUGAGGUGGGAAUGAGAACUUUACUUCUUUGGAGGAGGAGCUUCUAAGAUGGGGACUCUACUUCUAUGGAGAAAGGAACUUCUAAGAGGAGAUCUCUACUUCUACUGAGGUGGGGACUUCUUAGGCGAGAACUCUACUUCUAUGGAGUUAGGACUUCUAAGAGGUAAACUCUAUUCUACUGUGGGGGGUACCUCUAAGUGUAUCCCUACUUCUACUGAGGUAGAAACGUCUAAGGGGAGAACUCAACUUCUUUGGAGAGGUAACUUUUAAGAUGGGAACUCUACUUUUACUGAUGUGGGACCUUCUAAGGUCAAAACUCUUCUACUGAGGUGGGAACUUCUAAAACGAGAACUCUGCAACUGAGGGGGGAACUUCUAAGGGGAGAACUCUACUUCUACUGAGGUGGGGACUUCAAAGAUGGCAACUCUUCUUCUAUGGAGAAGAGGAACUUCUAAGAGGAGAUCUCUACUUCUACUGAGGUUGGAACUUCUAAGGAGAGAACUCUACUUCUAUGGAGUUGGGACUUCUAAGAGGUGAACUCUAUUCUAAUGUGGGGGGUACCUCUAAGUGUAUCCCUACUUCUACUGAGGUAGAAACGUCUAAGGGGAGAACUGUACUUCUUUGGAGAGGGAACUUUUAAGAUGGGAACUCUACUUUUAUUGAUGUGGGAACUUCUAAAGUCAAAACUCUUCUUCUACUGAGGUGAGAACUUCUAAGGUGAGAACUUUGCUACUGCGGGGGGAAAUUCUGAAGGGAUUACUCUACUUCUACUGUGGUGGGAACUUCUAAGAGGAGAACUCUACUUUUAUGGAGUGGGGACUUCAAAGAUGGCAACUCUUCUUCUAUGGAAAAAGGGAACUUCUAAGAGGAGAUCUCUACUUCUACUGAGGUUGAGAGGAGAGAACUCUACUUCUAUUGAGUGGAGACUUCAAAGAUGGGAGCUCUUCUUCUAUGGAGAAGAUGAACUUCUAAGCAGAGAUCUAUACUUCUACUGAGGUGGGAACUUCUAAGGGGAGAACUCUACUUCUAUGGAGUGGGUAUUUCAAAGAUGGGAACUCUUCUAUGGAGAGGAGGAACUUCUAAGAGGAGAUCUCUACUUCUACUGAGGUGGGAACUUCUAAAAGGAGAGCUCUACUUCUACUGAGGUGGGAACUUCUAAGGGGAGAACUCUACUUCUAUGGAGUGGGGACUUCAAAAAUGGGAACUCUUCUAUGGAGAGGAGGAACUUCUAAGAGGAGAUCUCUACUUCUACUGAGGUGGGAACUUCUAAGGGGAGAACUCUACUUCUAUGGAGUGGGGACUUCAAAGAUGGGAACUCUUCUAUGGAGAGGAGGAACUUCUAAGAGGAGAUCUCUACUUCUACUGAGGUGGGAACUUCUAAAAGGAGAGCUCUACUUCUACUGAGGUGGGAACUUCUAAGGGGAGAGAACUCUACUUCUAUGGAGUGGGGACUUCAAAGAUCGGAACUCUUCUUCUAUGGAGAGAAGGAACUUCUAAGAGGAGAUCUCUACUUCUACUGAGGUGGGAACUUCUAAGGGGAGAACUCUACUUCUAUGGAGUGGAGACUUCAAAGAUGUCAACUCUUCUUCUAUGGAGAGGAGGAACUUCUAAGAGGAGAUAUCUACUUCUACUGAGGUUGGAACUUCUAAGGGGAGAACUCUACUUCUAUGGAGUGGGGACUUCAAAGAUGGGAACUCUUCUUCUAUGG